rnacentral:lncRNA from 1 species
UAGGAUGCACUUAAUGUAUUUUGAAUAGCAAUGAGAGUUGGACAUCGAUGAUUUAGACAUCUGAUAGUAAUCGCAAUGAGAAUUGAAUGGCUUACUUAUGAAUUCGAGUUCUAGGAUUAAUCUUAAUAAAACCGUUAGCAACUAUUUAUUUGAGUUAUGAUUUACCUGUUUGAUAUUCCUGGAUCUAACGAUUUUCCCAUCUAUUUAAAAAACCAAUUUAUUUGAUUUGUUUUGAUUUAUUGCUUUCAUAUUAUUUUUGCCUAACUUAACCUAUAAACUUACAAUUUAUUGUGUAAUCCACACUCCAUGUAGAUUUGAUCCAUAAAUACUGCAAUCGAUCUUUUAUUUGAGAGAGUUGCUCUUAGAGUAAUUUGAGCAUUAUCAUCUUCUCCUAGUGGACAUCGUCGGCAAAAGACUAUAAAAACGAAGGAAGAUAUGAAGAAGAGAAGUGUAUGACCCUUGAAUUUAUAGCCGAGAUUACAUAUAUAUCGAGGAGAUUAUGCCAAAGGAUAAAUCGAAUCUAUGAGAAUAAUAUUAUGUGGAUAUCAUGGGUGAAUCACAAUUAUCCCCGCGAAAAAGGAAGAUUUGGAAGUUCAAAAAAGAUUUUAUCCUUACUCCGUUACAAGCAACGAACGAGCCCAUUAAGGACUGGGAGACAACUAUUGGACCCAAAAUCUUACAAAGCUCGUUAAAGCAAAGACAUGGACAACGUUUUGCGCAAAUCACAUAUGAUUGGAGCUCGAAGAAAACAAAGUCGACAAUAACCUUAAGAUGACGACUUCAAGGUAGAUCCAAACGAAGGUAGAUCUUUGGUGAUUAAUCUUGAACUCGACUAGGACCAGAAGCCAAGUUUGCAGGAUUGCAGAAACAAGUAACACCAAAUGGGAUAUUCGCCAAACAAACUCUAAGAUUUGUGGCAACCACCAAGUCUCUAAGAUUUCUGGGAUCGCAACGUUAGGAAGAAGAGGAAAUAUCAAAAGCUAUAAACAAGAUGAUGGAUUAUAAAAGGGAUACGAGAGCAAGGAGACGAGACACACUAGAACACUCCUUGACCUAUUGACCUCGAGCUCUUCACUUACCCAUUUGAAUCUUUUCCUUACUUUGAUUCCUAGUCUAAGUCUUGUUUAGACUACCAUUUUCAUACCUUGUACACCAUUCAACAUCAAUAUAUAUAAAGUCUAUUUUCGUCAACUUGAGUCUGAUUACAUCGUUUUAUUCUGAGGAUAUUGUUGCCACAAAAUUCUUCUUCCCUAAUCUAUUACAAACAUUACCAAAUACCUACUGUAGGUUUUAGGAUCCACACGCAUGAUAUAACUCAUUAACCACUUUGCGCUAGUUUGGAAAUCCAGUAACCGCCAAAUCACUGUUUCCGCUCAUUCUCUUGGGAUAUUAGUACACAUUUUGGCCUGCUAACCUUUCCGCCAAAAAUGCAUAUCAGUAUGUCCAUUCUCUGAACUAACUAAUCUCAGAUGACAAAACCAACCAUCUUGAAUCCGACCCAGGCCCGGGCUUGAGCAGAUACCUAAGAAACAUUUGCAUGGGGCCUACAAAUUGUAUAAGUUUUUUGGGUUUGCAUUUUCUGUUUUUAUUGUUAGCAUAUGAAAGGAAAAUUAAGUUUUAGGACGUGUUUUGAACAUAUAACAUGAUAAAUGUUUAAUUUUUUUUUCAUUCUCUUAUAUAAAAUGAAAUAGAAAGAUAAUUUUCAGAAUUGAUACUUUUAUAAAUUUUAAGGAUAUUGUAAUUCUUAAAUGUAAAUUAGAAUUUUAAUAAUUAAAAUUUUUAAUUUAUUAGAUAGGGCCUAUAUUUUUGGUUUCGUAUUGGACCCGAAAUAUCUCAAGACCGGCACUGAUCCGACCAGCAUGUUCUAAACUGACAAGCCCAACUGCUAUGUCUGAAUCCACAAAUACUUGUCUGAAUCUGACAAUAUUUGUAUUAAUCUGACCAUCACUGUCAGGUCAACAAGCUCAACCUUCCUAACUGAAUCGGAUCAUUCUCCAGCUGUCUGGUCCGAGAAUGACCACACUUGUCUGAAUCCCAUAAUUGUUGUCCGAAAAUUCCACAUUAUCUGAAUAACUUUCCAAACUCUUAUGAAAUUCACAAACUGAUCUGAGUGUAAAACCAACUGGCCGAGCUUAUCUAGCUCCAAGCAGUACAUUCUUACUCAGAAUCAUUUUUCAUCUAGUGCAUCCAAACUUGGUCAAAUCUUCUCAUUAUCGUCCAACACUGACUGGGUUGUUCGAACUGUCAAAGCCAAACCGUCUUUAGACUGUUCACUACAGAGCGUGCACGCUUCGCUCUAAUGAAAUUUGAGGGUUGACCUUGGAAAGUAGCACUAGUGGCAUCAACUAUGAGGACUUGACAACAACAAAAGUGUUCGAGUUAUGGUGUUCUGAAUCGGUAGAUCCACGGUUUGCUUAGACGUGUACUUUUUUGUCGAUUUUUAUUUUGUAUGUUGCAUAGUUUUAUCUUGAUUUUAUUAUAGCCGAGUCUUUUUGUACAUUUUGGUUUAUGUUGUAAACUAUAACGUAAGGAUGAUAUAUAUUUUGUAUUUUAUAACAAAAGAAAGAGAGAGUGAUUGAACGAGAAGUGAGAGAAGAGGAGUGAGUGUGUUUUUGUAUUGGAAAUAAUACAAGAGAGAUGAUAAUUAUUAAACUUGAUUCAUCCUUCUCUUUGUUACAAUGAUCGACAUAUUUAUAGGGAAGUAAGUCGGUAACAUUAACUAACUUUGAAAGGAAGAAGACAAAACAUAGGAUAAACAUUAUCCUAAUAGAUAAUUAUAAACCAAGAUAUUUUUGCCAAAAUAUCUUAUAACACUCCCCUUUAAUUAUUUAUUUUGUAUUACGUAGUGCCUCGUUUGGUCAUGGAAAAAUCUAUUGGGACAAAAACCAUGACAAGGGAAAAAGAGUACACUGUCGUAAUCUUCUCCUGAGAGUAGUGAACCUAACUUCCUCGUUACAAGUCACGCAAAUGCCGCAUUCCAAUACUGUAGACGUGUUUUCGGAAUGUUGUAGUCGGAAGAUGAUAAAAACCUCCCAAGGAAUACACUCUGAAAUUGGUAAGGGAUAAGCCUUGCACCGAAUGAGCCCGAAAGCAACAAACGAUCAAGGGAUGUGGAUCGAAAGGUGACACAAGAGAGGCGGAAAGUCUCUUGAUACUACCCUAUAAUGAUCGCCUCUAGAUAUGACACACUAGAUUAGACCAAGUUAGACUGAAGGAUAUUACACACCAACAAUCAUAAAAGUUUUGACCAAUGGAUAUGACACACCAUGAUCGAAAACAAGUUUGAGAAUCACUCUCAAGGUUCCAAAAAUAAUCACUCAAAGCUUAUUUUAUUUCAAUGGAGAUUACAACUUAUUUAUAAGAGACUAAACUUGAUCACAAAGCUAGAUAGUUAUUACAUUGGAAAUGAUAAAACUAGUGCAUGGAGGAGAGAGAGUGUUUUUGAAACAAGCAUUCUUUGCAUGUAGGAGAGAGAAGCUUUCCAUGCAAUUAACCACCUAAUUUUCGUCACUCUCUUUGGCCAGCAAAGAAACCAUUUGAUUUAGAAUCUUCUUGGGCUUGUAACUUGAUAAAAAUGGGCUGGACAUGUUAGCUAAUAUCUUGGGUCAAUUUCUGAAUGUCUUCCAUGUCCAUAGCCUCACAUAUGAGCCCAAUAUCACAUCAUACUCCUCCUCUUCAAAAAGAUUUGUCCUCAAAUCUUGCUCUCCGAAGAAAGAAAAACUUGAAUACACACUUCCCAAAAGAUCCAGCAGAUUUGUAGAACAUAAAUAACAAAACUUUUUUUUUUUUCUUUUUUUUUUUUUAGAAGAUGGAUAGAUGAGAAUGGUGAAUAACAGAAGUGAAUACCGCUUUCAGAGUGGCUCUGAUACCAAAUGAUAAAAACCUCCCAAGGAAUACACUCUGAAAUUGGUAAGGGAUAAGCCUUGCACCGAAUGAGCCCGAAAGCAACAAACGAUCAAGGGAUGUGGAUCGAAAGGUGACACAAGAGAGGCGGAAAGUCUCUUGAUACUACCCUAUAAUGAUCGCCUCUAGAUAUGACACACUAGAUUAGACCAAGUUAGACUGAAGGAUAUUACACACCAACAAUCAUAAAAGUUUUGACCAAUGGAUAUGACACACCAUGAUCGAAAACAAGUUUGAGAAUCACUCUCAAGGUUCCAAAAAUAAUCACUCAAAGCUUAUUUUAUUUCAAUGGAGAUUACAACUUAUUUAUAAGAGACUAAACUUGAUCACAAAGCUAGAUAGUUAUUACAUUGGAAAUGAUAAAACUAGUGCAUGGAGGAGAGAGAGUGUUUUUGAAACAAGCAUUCUUUGCAUGUAGGAGAGAGAAGCUUUCCAUGCAAUUAACCACCUAAUUUUCGUCACUCUCUUUGGCCAGCAAAGAAACCAUUUGAUUUAGAAUCUUCUUGGGCUUGUAACUUGAUAAAAAUGGGCUGGACAUGUUAGCUAAUAUCUUGGGUCAAUUUCUGAAUGUCUUCCAUGUCCAUAGCCUCACAUAUGAGCCCAAUAUCACAUCAGAAGAGCUUUUGUAAACAAGUCAGCUGGAUUGUCGCAUGACCGUACAUACUCGAUGUCCACUUCUUUAUUUUUCUCGAGCUCUCGUAUGUAUGAGAAAAAUCUUGGAGGGAUGUGCUUUGUUCUGUCGCUCUUGAUAUAACCUUCUUUAAGUUGAGCAACGCAAGCCGAAUUGUCUUCAAAUAUUUUUGUUGGCUUUUUCUCGUUGACUAUUCCGCUUGAUUCUUGUAUGUGGUGACUCAUUGACCGAAGCCACACACAUUCUCGACAUGCUUCGUGAAGCGCGAUAGUUUCUGCGUGAUUCGAAGAUGUCGCAACCAUAGUUUGUUUUUGGGACCGCCAAGAGAUCGCAGUUCCACCAAUUGUAAAAACAUAGCCGGUUUGCGAUCGAGCCUUAUGAGGAUCUGAUAAGUAUCCCGCAUCUGCAAAACCAACCAUACCAAACUCGGGUUUUCUAAAAUACAUUAACCCUAAAUCAACUGUACCUUAAAGGUAACGGAAUAAAUGUUUUAUUCCGUCCCAAUGCCUGCGAGUAGGAGCAGAACUAUAUCUCGCAAGUAUAUUAGUAGCAAAAGCUAUAUCUGGUCUGGUACAGUUUGCAAGAUAUAACAGCCCACCGAUAGCACUCAUAUAAGGUAUUUCUGGACCUAAUAUCUUCUCGCUAUCUUCGCAGGGCCGAAAAGGAUCACUCUCAACAUUGAGAGUUCUACCAAUCAUUGGAGUACUCAAAGAAGUCGCUUUGUCCAUACGAAAGCGUUUCAAUAACCUUUUGUAUUGUUUGAUUGAUGCACAAAUAUUCCUUCUCGGAGAUGCUCUAUUUGGAGCCCAAGAUAAAACUUUGUCUUGCCGAGAUCUUUCAUUUCGAACUCCUCUUUCUUAUGAGUUCGAGCAUCAUCAACCUCUUUUUGAGUUCCAAUUAUGUUCAGGUCAUCUACAUAUACAGCAAUGAUCACAAAGCCAGAUGACGAUUUUUUUAUAAAAACGCAUGGACAUAUCACAUUAUUAACAUAUCCUUUACUCAAAAGAUAUUCACUUAAGCGAUUGUACCACAUGCGUCCGGAUUGCUUUAAUCCGUAAAGUGAUCGCUGUAACUUGACCGAACAAAUCUCUCUGGAUUUUUCUUUCAAUGCCCCAGGCAUUUUCAAUCCCUCAGGGAGUUUCAUAUAUAUAUCGUUAUCCAAUGAUCCAUACAAAUAUGCAGUCACAACGUCCAUGAGAUGCAUUUCAAGAUUUUUAGACGCCGUUAGGCUCAUCAAAAAUCUAAACGUAAUUGCAUCCAUUACCGGAGAAUAUGUUUCCUCGAAAUCAAUUCCCGGUCUCUGAGAAAAACCUUGGGCAACUAAUCGGGCUUUAUAUCGUGUUACUUCAUUUUUCUCAUUUACUUUUCUCACGAAUACCCACUUAUACCCAACAUGAAUUAUAUUAUCAGGCGUUAUGACUAUAGGUCCAAAGACAUUUCUUUUAUUCAGGGAGAGUAAUUCAAUUUGAAUGGCCUUCUUCCACUCCUCCCAAUCAUGUCUUUUUUGACAUUCUAAAAUGGACCUUGGAUCGGGAUCAUCAUUUUCAUGAUCGAUCUCUUUGAACACAGAAAAGGAGAACAUUCCAUCAACAUCUUUUAUCUUAUUUCUGAUCCAUAUCUUUUCAUCUCGGGCGUAGUUGAUGGAAAUCUCAUACUUUUCUGUUCCCUUCUCGUCAUCUGGGUCAUCUUUAUCUAUGCCUUCUUUCAGACAUCUUUUAACAUCAGGUUCUUCUUGAACCUUACUAUUUUGUUCAUCCAAUUUCUUUUUUCUUUCGGGGAUUUUUAUCUUUAGAACCCGCUGGCCUCCCCCUCUUUAACUGAACCCGAGGUUCAUUCAUUCUGUUACCAUCAGUUUGUUCUUUAGGAACAUCAACUCUUGAUGGAACAUUUUCAGCGGAUAUACAUGACUUCGUCACCCUUCUCGUAUCUGUGAACGCAUCUUGUAACUGGUUUGCCAAAUUAUGCAAAUGCACAAUUUUCUGAACUUCCAGUUCUCUUUGAUUCGUAGGAGGAUCAAGGUGUAACAACGACGGUGUACACCAUGUAAUCUCUUGAGGACUUUUACCAAUUCCUCCCCCUAAUGCUGGAAAUUCAUCCUCAUUAAAAUGGCAAUCGGCAAACCUUGCCGUAAACAUAUCACCAGUUACUGGUUCCAGAUAUCUUAUUAUCAUUGGUGACGUAUAACCCACAUAUAUUCCCAAUCUCCUUUGUGGGCCCAUUUUUGUUCUUUGUGGCGGUGCUAUCGGAACAUAGACUGCACACCCAAAGACACGGAGAUGGGAUACAUCUGGCUCUUGCCCAGAUGCCAAUUGUAAAGGGGAGUACUUAUGAUAUGCACUCGGUCUUAGCCGAACCAGUGCAGUCGCAUGCAAUAUAGCAUGACCCCAUACAGAAAUUGGGAGCUUUGUUCUCAAGAGUAACGGUCUUGCAAUCAACUGCAACCGUUUUAUUAAUGACUCGGCCAUGCCAUUUUGUGUAUGCACAUGGAGAACUGGAUGCUCCACAUCAAUCCCCAUUGACAUACAAUAAUCAUCAAAGGCUUGCGAUGUAAACUCACCAGCAUUAUCAAGCCUUACUUUCUUAAUGGCAUACUCUGAGAACUGCGUUCUCAGCUUUAUUAUCUGGGCAAUGAACUUUGCGAAAGCCGUAUUUCGUGUCGUCAAAAGAGACACACUUGACCAUCUACUAGAUGCGUCAAUCAAUACCAUGAAAUACUUAAACGGCCCGCAUGGUGGGUGGAUCAGCCCACAUAUAUCACCAUGUAUUCUUUCUAAAAACAUUGGUGAUUCAUUGCCUACUUUUGUUGGUGAUGGCCGAGUUAUAAGCUUUCUUUGAGAACAUGCAUUACAAGUAAACUCGCCCGUUUGCAAAAAUUUUCCGUUUUUCAACGGAUGGCCAUUCAAAUUUUGCACUAUCUUUCUCAUCAUGACCGAACCAGGAUGUCCUUGCCUUUCAUGCCAUAUUUUAAAUGUAUCAGUAAACUUAUGUUUACCAAAACAUAGGAUUCAGUCAUGGUUAUUUUCGUACAAUAUAUUCCAGAGGAUAACAUUCUUAACUCUUCCAAUAUAUGUUUCCUCUCAGACUUAAUGCAAAGAAAUUCAAUGAUAUCUUUACUCAUAGUCUCAAUAUGAUAUCCAUUUCUUCGAAUAUCCUUAAAACUUAACAAGUUUCUAUGAGACUUGGGGGAAUACAAAGCAUCACUUAUUUCAAAUAUUGUUCCCCCUGGCAUUGCAAAUUUCGCUCUUCCAGAGCCCAUAAUAAUCUUUGCAUUACCAGAUAUUGUACUUACGCUUCCAGCGUAAUCUCUUAUUUUGAGACUGGAGAAAUAUUUCUUAUCUUUGAUUAUCGUGUGCGUUGACGCACUAUCUGCCAAACACAAAUCUCCAUCAAUAGUCUCAAAGUUUGGCAUUCUUUCUGAAUUUAAAAUAUUCAUAAAACAUAUAUUAUUAAAUAUUAAAGAAACAUAACAUAUAUCUUACAACAAAAGAUAUAGAUACUAUUAUACAGUCUAUUUAUAUCACAUCGAUUUAUAUCACUCAUCGAUACUCUCUGGCUCAACCAGAAAGUCUGAUACGUCGAGAUGAGUAUCAUCGUUUAAACCAUGAAAGGAUGGCCCAGGUUCAUCAGAGAUGAAAUUAGUUUCACCUCUUCCUUUCUCUUUUCCCUUUUGGGAUUCUCUAUACAGAUCGGCUAAAUGUUUUGGUGUACGACUGGUACGUACCCAAUGACCUUUCAUGCCGCAUCUGUAGCAAACCUUUCCCGUUUGCCUUUUAUCAUCCUGGCCCUUUUCAUUCUUUUCAUUUUUGUGGAAGUCUUUAUUAUUUCUUUCAUCAUAGGAACGAAAUCUUCUUCCUCGUCCUCUUCCACGACCAUGAUAACGGUUUCCACCUCGUCCACGACCUCGUCCUCUUCUAUUAUCAUAACUGGAUGAUGCAACAUUCGCUUCAGGGAAUGGAGCAGAUCCAGUGGGACGAGCUUGAUGGUUUAAAGUCACGAGUUGAUUAUUCCGCUACAAGGAGGACUUGCAUCAACUCCGAGUAACGGGUAUAUCCACUCACUCGGUAUUGUUGCUGCAGGAUUACAUUUUCAGGAUGAAACGUGGAGAGAGUUUUCUCGAUCAUAUCAUAAUCACUUAUUUUCUCUCCACAUAACAUCAUCCUCGAAGUAAUUCCGAACAUCGCGGAAUUAAACUCACUAACACUUUUGUAAUCCUGGAACCGGAGAUGGAUCCACUCGUGUUUAGCUUUCGGUAAGAUCACAUAUUUCUGGUGAUCAAACCUCUCUUUUAAAGAUUUCCAGAUGUCACAAGGAUCCUCUUUCGUAAUAUAUUCAUCCUUUAAACCAUCAUGGAUGUGGUGUCCUAAAAAUAUCAUGGCUUUAGCCUUUUUCUCAUCCGACACCGUUUUUGAACUAUCGAUGGUUUCCAAAAGCAUGUUUCCUCUCAGGUGCAUUUUUGCACCCACUGCCCAGGUCAUAUAAUUAUUUCCCGUAAUAUUCAGGGCAUUAAUUUCGAGCUUUGUCAAAUUUGACAUGAUAACUGUAUUCAUAGAAUAAUAUAUAUAUAAAUAUAGUAAAGACGGGAAUUUAAAUGCAUAAUUAAAUGCAAAAAUUAAAAGCAUAAAUAAAAGCAUAAACUUAAAUUGCAGAAAUUUAAAUUGCAGAAAUUUAAAUUGCAAGAAUUUAAAUAGCAUAAAUAAAAUCGGGAGGCUCAGCCUACCACAUGAUCCGAGGAGUCAUAGACUACCAUAUUGAUCAUUUUUCAAAGUCCGAGGAGACAUGGUCUACCAUUUUGACUUUUACUUUUUUCAAGGUCCGAGGAGACAUAGUCUACCAUUUUUGACCUUUUCUUUUUAUUCACGAAAGCAAAGCAUACCACGUGUUUCUCUGAUCGUGAAGGCAUAACCUACUAUAACGAUCAGUCGGGGAAGGCAGCGCCUAUCAUCCCGAACGGAGAAGGUCCUGCCUCUCACUCCAAAACAAUAAUAAAAUUUAAAUAAAUUAAGUGUAUUGAAAUAUAUAAAUUUAAACAUUACCUCGGCUGGUUUAAAAACUUUCGGAUUGAUAAAGUCAGUUGGUCAAAGCCUCUGCUGAUAACGUGUUGUAAACUAUAACGUAAGGAUGAUAUAUAUUUUGUAUUUUAUAACAAAAGAAAGAGAGAGUGAUUGAACGAGAAGUGAGAGAAGAGGAGUGAGUGUGUUUUUUGUAUUGGAAAUAAUACGAGAGAGAUGAUAAUUAUUAAACUUGAUUCAUCCUUCUCUUUGUUACAAUGAUC